rnacentral:rRNA from 1 species
CCUACGGGAGGCAGCAGUGGGGAAUUUUGGACAAUGGGGGCAACCCUGAUCCAGCAAUGCCGCGUGAGUGAAGAAGGCCUUCGGGUUGUAAAGCUCUUUUGUCAGGGAAGAAACGGUGGAGGCUAAUAUCCUCUGCUAAUGACGGUACCUGAAGAAUAAGCACCGGCUAACUACGUGCCAGCAGCCGCGGUAAUACGUAGGGUGCAAGCGUUAAUCGGAAUUACUGGGCGUAAAGCGUGCGCAGGCGGUUGUGCAAGACAGAUGUGAAAUCCCCGGGCUUAACCUGGGAAUUGCAUUUGUGACUGCACGGCUAGAGUGUGUCAGAGGGGGGUAGAAUUCCACGUGUAGCAGUGAAAUGCGUAGAGAUGUGGAGGAAUACCGAUGGCGAAGGCAGCCCCCUGGGAUAACACUGACGCUCAUGCCCGAAAGCGUGGGGAGCAAACAGGAUUAGAUACCCUGGUAG